rnacentral:lncRNA from 1 species
CCUGCUAAAUCAGCAAUUUUGCUUAUGUGGCACCAUAUUUAAUGUGCAUGACACUCUCAUAAAACAUGCAUUGAGACUAGCCUUAUUAAAUGUCCGUUCAUUUUUUUUUUUUUGCAAAGAUGUUCAUAGUGUUUGUCUUCAGAAUACAACAUGGCCAAUCGAACCUUAAUGUGUGUACUCUUUCUGGGCAAGAGGUUAGAAGCAUGUCCAAUGAGUAAGAUAAUGCAAGUCUUUUGUAUUGGCUAAGCGCGUUGGUAAUGGUGUUAUCUAUGUAGCUAGUUUACAUCGUAAAAGAUGUCCAUAGCGUUUAUCUUCAGAAUACAGCACUCGAACCUUGAUCUGGUGUGCUCUUUUCGGGAAAGGGAUUAGAAGCAUGUCCAAUGAGUAAGAUGAUGUAAGUCAUUUGUAUUGGCUAAGUGUGUUUAUUAUGGUGUUACCUACGUAGCAAGUUUACGUGAAGAUAAAAGACAAAAGUAAAAACUAUUUUAUAUAUUCUUAUUUUUGAUAUACUAUUAGACUCACAUGCUCCUCUCUCAUGUUAUUGAACUAUGUAAAAUUGAUCGACUAUUCGUUCAUCGUCACUAGUGACUACUCUCUCUUAUACUUUUGUACUUACCCAUGUCAUAAUAACUAACUAAAUAUUGGGGAUGUCCUAAUAUGAUAGAGCAACCAACGACAAGCGUUUAACGCCAAGCUAUAAAAUCAAAGAAUAAUGAGUAGAGAGGAGGGAGAUGAAUAGGCAAUUUUGAUUAAAAUCAUAAAUAGAAAGCUAAUUUAAUUAGAACAACAAGAGAUCCAUGAUAUGCUACUCUUCCAAACUGCGAACUAAGCCUAUGUCAGGUGGUAAGGUUUCUUGUGGUGGAAUCUGUUCACCCAAGCUCAAGUAGGCACAAAUGUUCGUAUUUUUAUGGAUUUAUAUCAAGGUGAACGGUGUUGUGAUUUCAACUGUAGGCGACAUUCCCAUCAACAGCGAGACACCUAUGGUGACUUCGUCAAUUUUGAGAUAUACCGGCACAGUCUUUUGGAGGUGCUCAUAUAGAUAAAGUUUGUAUACAUGUAUUCAUAGGGGUUCAAAAUAACUAACACAACACUAAUUUGGGCACAAAGCAUAUCCAUAAAAGGGGACACCAAUUUUAUCCCACAGUAUCGAUAAGCUAAUUUAAUUAGAACAACAAGAGAUCCAUGAUAUGCUACUAUUUCUAGUUGUGAACUGAGCCUAUGUCACG